GCCUUCGUGGUGUAACGGUAGCACACUCGGCGCGUAUGCAAAAGGUCCAGGUUCGAGUCCCGGCGAGGUCA
rnacentral:tRNA from 1 species